AUACGGAGGGUGCAAGCGUCACUGGGAAUCACUGGGCGUAAAGCGCGCGCAGGCGGCUAUUUAAGUUGGAUGUGAAAGCCUACGGCUCAACCGUAGAACUGCAUCCAAAACUAUUUAGCUAGAGUGUGGGAGAGGAAGAUGGAAUUAGUUGUGUAGGGGUAAAAUCCGUAGAGAUAACUAGGAAUACCAAAAGCGAAGGCAAUCUUCUGGAACACUACUGACGCUGAGGCGCGAAAGCGUGGGGAGCAAACAGGAUUAGAUACCCUAGUAGUCC
rnacentral:rRNA from 1 species